AGCAGUUUCUCUCACUUUGUAAACACACAAUAAUGCGAUACGGAGAACAAAAAAAGUGCUGGAUGAAUUUUUAUUAUUAUUAUUUUUUUAAUAGGAAACACUCCUGAUGUGUAGGCUGUACAAAUUCUGUUACAAGAUUUUGAAUCAUGAUCAUAUAUCCUAAUUUUGGAGUUCGCUGAGUGUCGUCUAACUCAACAGUGAUCAAGAACAGAAACGCUGGAACACUCAGGACCGCCGUGAGACACAUAUGCCGCACACAAACAUGCUGCAGUAAGAGCACAACCAGCGCUUCAGUCUGAAAACAAUGAUGGAGAGACUGGAAAGGGAGGAGAAGACGAAAGCAAAUGAUCCUGGAGGACUUGUCGAAUAAUAUACUCGUUCGUCCCAGUGAACUGAAGAGAGAGAGAGAGAGAGUUUGGCUUGACGUAAGUGACAGUCUGGUUCUGCUCAUUACCUGGUGCUGUGUGUGUGUGUGUGUGUUGAGUUUAUUUGUGGUCUCUGUGUUUAUUUGGGGAUUUUAUGGGCCAGUGAGAAUGUAAAAGCAAAAGUGUGUGUGUGUUUGUUUUGUGAGUAUAGGUCUGCAUGUAUGUAGUGUAAUUGAAAUGUUGUGCUGGCAUUGCUGUGGAAUAUUGGAAUCGCUCAUCCGGGAUUCGUGGAGUGAAGUUUUU